rnacentral:rRNA from 1 species
UGAGGAAUAUUGGACAAUGGAGGCAACUCUGAUCCAGCCAUGCCGCGUGCAGGAUGACGGCCCUAUGGGUUGUAAACUGCUUUUAUGUAGGAAGAAACACUCUCACGUGUGAGAGCUUGACGGUACUACAAGAAUAAGGACCGGCUAACUCC